rnacentral:tRNA from 1 species
AUGAUGGUAGUUCAAUUGGUCAGAUCACCGCCCUGUCAAGGCAGAAGUUGCGGGUUCUAUCCCCGUCAAUCCCA